rnacentral:rRNA from 1 species
CACGUAGGGUGCGAGCGUUGUCCGGAAUCAUUGGGCGUAAAGAGCGUGUAGGCGGCCCGGUAAGUCCGCUGUAAAAAGUCAAAGGCUCAACCUUUGAAUGUCAGUGGAUACUGCCGGGCUAGAGUCCGGAAGAGGCGAGUGGAACUCCUGGUGUAGCGGUGGAAUGCGCAGAUAUCAGGAAGAACACCAACGGCGAAGGCAGCUCGCUGGGACGGUACUGACGCUGAGACGCGAAAGCGUGGGGAGCGAACAGG